UGUCAAAUCGUCUGGGGACUUUGGAGCAGAGAGUUUCCAACCUCAGUAAGAUCGUCCAAUCACUGAACGCCUCACUGCAUCACACUCAAGAAACAGCUAAACAAGUUCAGCAGCUCCAGUAUGCUGUUGACAACAACACGGACCAGCUUAACUCAGGCGGUGGAAACCCG